rnacentral:lncRNA from 1 species
UAAAGCAACAAACCACCUGCAACAAACUCUGCCUUUCUAGAGCUAUGUAACGAAAAUACGAAAGGCCUAAAAUCAGGCUUCCCUGGCUUCAGAAGUAGCAAAGGUCCACUUAUGAAUUAUGAUUGUCUGAGAAGUGCCUGAGUUGCAAAUCGUGAUGGGUAAAUGUAGCACCUAAACUUCGACGUUGACGAAACCUCGCCACCCCUGCAACCCAUUAACCUUGUAACCUAUUAUCUUCCGCAUCCACAAACUCUUCAAGCUUUCUUCUUCUUUAUCGGCACCAAGUUGCCCAAGUACUCUUCCAUAGGUGCGAAUCUACUUACCAUUUAGCUGCCUCAAUAAUAGAUUGGCAUUUGGCAACAAUAUAUUUCUCGUAAACAUGAAGGCAAUUGCUGUGAAAAAUUUUAAUAUACUCGCAAGUGCACGAAUAUAGAAAUAGAAUAGUGGCAACGAGGUCAAACCCACAGGGAUUGUCAUAAAUUGAAAAGUCUAAUUUAAAUCUAAAAUUUAUAUUAAUCCUAACUUAGUUGAGCAGAUUGAGUUUUUAAGAGAAAUAAAACUAAUUAAACUAAGAAAACAAUUAAAGCAAAUGAAAAUUCAAUAAGACAAAAAUUACCAAGAUUUCAGAAUCCACCACUAUUCAACUAGUAAUUAUCUAAUUAUUAAUUAAUCUUCAAUUUUAGAGUGACAACUUGAAAUCAAUCUAUGUCAUCUCAUGGAUAUAACAAUUAAGUCCAAAUAAAGUUAAUCUUGUGUAGGUUCUUUUUCUGCUUAAAUAGUAUGAUAUCUAAGCAUUCCAUGUAAACAUAUCGAAUAACAAAAAGUCAAAAUUUUCUUAAAUACUCUGCGUAAACAAUUUAAUGAAAGACACAAAAUCAAAGAUCAUUAUGUAUAAACAUUAUAGAUCCAAGUAUAGAUUUAGUCAAAUAUUAAUCUUAACAAUCAAUAAUGAAUGACAUAAUUAGUGAAAAGAUUUUAAUAAUAUCCAACUAGUCAUGUGAAACAAGAACCAUAAAAAUUAAAGAACAUAUAUAGAAAAUUAAUUAAAUAAAAAGAUAAUUAUUUCAUUGAAUAUAAUUUUAUUCUUAACCUCAAUAUAAAAAAAUUAAUUAGACAUACUUGAAUUAUGAGCAACAAAUAAAAUAAAACUAACCAUGGGAAGCCGAAUUAUUGCUGCUCUUCCUUUUUCUCUCUGCCGAAUCGCGUCUGCUCUGUUUCCU